GGUGCAGUGGCCAAGCGGCAAGGCGUCAACCUUGUAAAUUGAAGAUCAUGGGUUUGAUCCCCAUGUGUGCCU